CUUGGUCUCUUUUUUUUCUUCUUCUGUUGUAUCAAGAGAUGAGAUGCUUCUGACCUGACAGCCAUAAUCAGCAGAAAGUGAUGGACCUGAAACAACAGCAGGUGCUGGAGUAAAAUUUGAAGGAGGACUCUGGAGAGAAGUCAAUAUCUAUCAAAGACUGCAAAUACCUAACAGAAGAUAAAACUCUUUUAAACCCCAAUCAGGCAGACAGAAAGGAAACAUAACUUAGAGCAGACAUACUCCAAGGAAGAAACAAAGGCUCAGCCGCUGUUCAAGACAGGAAAUGCCUCACUUACUGAAGCAGAGAAACUGCCGCGGUGGCUGGACUGAAGGGAGUGAAAAGAUGACCUCUGGAAAGAAUCAGUGAGCAGCUUCUCUGUUGCAAGCAGAUGAGGCCAGGGAAGACAGAGGUCACCCACACCAGACCCAAAGAAGGCUUCAAUCCCACCAGCUCCAUCACACCAAAGAUGCCCAACAGCACCGCCCCAAACUAGUGAGGAGAAUGAGGCUCCCUGAGGAUCAAGAGAAGAGCCAACACUCCUGCCAGCCGCUUCUACCAGCAUUCAUUAAGGGGCUCCAAGCCUGGCCCAAGACCAGUUCUGUUGAGCACAAGAGACACGUAGAGAAGAAAGAGGGGGAGUGGUUUCAUAGACCUGAUAAAAGAUUAAACAAUCUAGGUAAGAAGCUGUCCCACAUGGCCCUUGGUUGUUUCACCAA